UGAUGAACUUGAGCAGCUAGAGCAACCUAAAAAAACCAUUGUUUGUUGUGUGGUGGCAUUUUUUCUCAAGCCGCAACGUAACAUUAUUUAAUUCGCGGCCUCGAGGAAUACCGGGAAUACCAGGUUCUCGAUGGCAACGCCGGCCAUUGUGAAUUUAAACAGAAUUUCCGCGUACGUAACAGUCAGUACCGAUCUGAACAUUAUGUUCCGGCAACGGUUCCAGGUCUUGUCCUGUCAGUGUAAAGUUCUGAGGCUGCAGUUUGCUCAUGUAUCAAAAAUGGCAAGCCGGAUUAACAAACUAUUCAAAACACUGCAGACUGGUGUUUCAAAACUUAUCGGGAAAGGCUCCGAGGAAGCCAAUGAGGUGCAAAACGCGGCAUACAAUACAUUGGCUCAACUGGCUAUCGUUUGUCCGACUGUGAAUACGAUGUCCAACUCGUUUCUUCCUAUUUUGAUCAUCUGUCACAGGAACCGGUCUAAUUGCAUACGCCCGAUAAGAGGCGCCUUUGGUAGGGCUCAGGCGAUUUUCGACUGGAGGAAGCAACCAAAAAUUCCUGGCGAUACCGUACUGACUAAGGGAGAAAAGGACACCGUCAUGAUGAAAGAGGACGAUUCGUCCCGCACUCCAAUCAAAAGUGUUGUAAAGAUUCUGUUCCGUCGAGGUAUUUGUGGAGAAAGUGCUCAGUUGAAGGAAAGGAUGACAACCUAUUUGUUUGGAGUUUCCAAGAAAGAACAUCCAAACUAUGGGUCAACUCUUUUGACAACUGUAAACAACCGACAGAGAAGAAUCAGUCCAAAAAUCUGUUCUCAACUACUCAUGAACCAUAAUGGAUUGUGCUUCCGUGUUUCAAGGGUACGGUUGAAUGUGUUACUAUGAAGUGAGGUUUACUUAUAGUUUCUAUAUUAUCACAAAAUUUUUGGAUUACCAUCGACUUUGCCUGCUAGUGUCAACACUCAUCCCGAAGAGGAUAAAAAAAUGCUCAAAUUGGCAGCCUUCUUGAAGUUAAUUGCCGAAAGCGGUAUUGAGUAUGUUAUUUGGACAGACAACAACCUUAUUAGAAGGGUGGAUUACUGGUAGAAAAGAAAUUACCGAGCUGACCUGUUUUCGAUUUGGUCAGUAUCCCUAUUGGCUAGAGAAAACAAAGAAUUUAUACGUUGGGAUCUUCGCUGAAGGAAAUCUCCGAACCGAUCAGAGCACUGUUUGUGAAUGUAUACUUAUACGAUGUGCUUUUGGUCUUGAAAUGUGACGAGCAGGAGCUGGAGGUGCAAAUCAAGGAGCUGCUGGCUCUGACAAUAAAUCUGGAAAAUCGGGAUCGCUCCAUUAUAGCGGCUCUCAAUAUCAUCAAACUUAAGCUCAUUUUAACGACCUGAACUGCAAAACUGAAAUUUUCAAAGAUCUUUUCCCAUCAUUAAUCUUCCUCCAGAAUGACAAUGGUAAUCGAUGCUUCAAUCGGUUUGUAUCAAAAAUGUUAGUUUCUACCACAAAACUGCCGCACAGCGCGGUGAAGGAACCGAGGAAAUGAAAACUGAUCAAGGUGAUGUAAACACGAAAGCUCCUAUGUUGAAAGUCCAUAGCACUUCUGCAGAGUGGUCAUACCAAAGCUACAAUCCGAGAGGAUGUUACAUUGUUUAGGCUAUCUGGUUAUCGGUGAUGAGAAUUUUUUUUGCUAAACGGUGAUUUAAGGUUUUUCUGAUUCUGCUGAAGUUGACCAAGGAUCCGACUCUAUUGCCAUGGUUUAAAUUAUGCAAUCGUGUGGAGAAUGUCAAGCGGAUCAAGAUUCGAUAGGAAAUAUUAACGAUGAUAUACUUAUUUAAAACGCUUGUACCAUCUGGUUGUUUGCGAUGAUCAGAAUUUGCAGCAAGCGCAAGUCGGUGGAGAAUAAAACAGAUUCUGCAGGAUAAUGGAUUCAAAGGAUAAUGGAUGUGGCAUGACGUGGUUUGGGAAUGGUGUGCUCAAUUUCCAUGAAUGGCUGGCAGGAAAAACUGCCGAAUUAGUUGUUAUGGUCAACUAGACGACUUGUGCAAAAAGAAGACACUAAGAUUUUCGAGGAAGGUGUACUGAGGAUGGCACCUAGUGGGUGUUGAACGUGAUCAUGGAAUUCGGUAAUUUAUUCGUUUUCGUGACACUUAUUCAGGACUUUUUUUGGUAGAAUUGUUUACACCUGAUCUCCAUGAUAGUCCACCCUGGACACUAAUCCAGACUCAUUAACCUGCCCAGAAACCAGUGUCAUGCAAACUCGUUCGAGUCCAAAUGCUUUCCAAGUUUCAAAGUUUUGCGAUCGUCUAAAUAUUUCAAAUUAAUGGUAACGAUAAACUUUGUCGGUUAGAAAAACUUUCAGUAUAGUAAUAGUCUGUAUCACCUGGCAAUCUGACUUCCUUGAAUAGCACAAACCGUCGUGUUUUUAUAUCCUUGCAUUAUGGAAAUUGUACAAAACUCGGAAGGAUACGACCAGCACCGAGCUAUAGGACAAUUAGUAGUGGUCGAAAAAUGCAAGCGUUACUCCGGAGCUCCUAUUGAACCACUAAUAAUCUAAUCGUUGCACAAUUAUUUCGUGGGUAAUUUGUGUGGUUUGUUUACAUUUCUGAUUCUUGGAUCCCCAAUUACCAAACUUUUUUUUCUUUCCAGGAAAUGAACCACAACGGCAGCCGAUAUACGUCGUUCGCCUUUGCUAGUGGAGGGAUCGCUGGCAGCGGCGGUGCCCGAGGGGAACUGAGCAGUGGAAAUUUGAGCAGAAAGCUGAGUAGUCCGAUGGCAGAGUCGACACAGCUGGACAGCAGCGGUAUCCGGGGGAAUCUUUACGACAGUCCGGUACGACAGGUUGGAGUUGGGAAAAGAAGCCUACCUCUCCGUUGCAAAAUAGCAGGACAAAUUUUAGAAGCAGCUGAACGGCGUCCGGGUCCAGUAUGGAUCGAUUGAUUGAUCCUAAGAUUUACACGGAUGUUCAGAGCCGAGGAUUGGUUAACCGGUUGGUAACGUACCACGAUAAAACGCAAUCGCCGUUAAAUAGGAGUCAAUCGAUGACUAGCCUGUACUCGAAGCCGGGUCGAUUUCCUGUGUGGUGGAGGAGAAACAAUUCUUCGAUAGCUACCAUUGGUUCGGAUUUCCCCGUCAGAGAAGUCCGUGUUUCAGGCUAACACAAGGUGGAACAUUUUACGGGAGGGAUCGUUGCUCAUUCCGGCGGAACCUCAUCUGAAGAUGGUCCGAACACAUAGACACGAGGAUGAGAUUGAUGCGGAAAAUAGUGUGAUUGCGCCUUCAACAGAACUGGAUGCCGAUUGGAUUAAGAAACAAUGUAAGGAACUAUCGGAGGUUGAUUCAGGCGAAGCUGGUACGAAGCAAGCUCGGAAAAUUACAUACACGGCUUCGCACCCGUGUCGAGGGUCGGCGAAUCAGCAGCUGCAGACGAAGAAAUUAUGUAGUAAAAAUAAUAUCUCAAGUUCACUUAGCUCGAGCCUGGUGAUGAACACUCCGAAAGUGGAACACGUAGCGCACUGACCGGCACGAUUAAAUGUGGAUGUCUUUCUCGACGCCGGCAACAUUGAAUGCGACGGUUCCAGUUAGCAUGAUUGAAUCGAGCAAACCGGCAAAAUUAAGUAGGAUUGAUUCCGCUCCUUUGCCACAGAUUACGAGAAUUGUUCCGGAGUUUCAACUGCCUCUGAUGGAAUAUCCGCCACUAAAACUAACGUUGUUUAACAAGAAAUAUAACGUCCAUAACAUGACGAAACGGUGGUUCGACCCACGUCCACAGACAGUGAAGAUAAGGAUGAUGAUGAUAAAGUAGGCGGACGAAUCAGUUUCAUUAAGCCAAAGAUAAAUCGCCUAUGCCAAGGUUGUUUUGAAGAGGUUCGAGCGCUCGAAAUCAUCGUUGAUUCUGAGCUGCUUGAGUGAUGAUUUUGAUGAAGACGAGGAAUCGCCUAUAGUUACGCCAUCGCAAGGUUCAUUUUAUACGAUAGACACCGCGGAUGCAACACCGAAGGUUGAAGAGAAGAAACGGCUUCCGUCCCGAUAAUGAGCGGUAUUUCAGCAAUAGUUAAUACCCCGAUCAAGGAUCCUGUCCUAGGUAAAAUUGAUCCACCGAAACCGGUGGAAAAUGUAAAAACGAUAGAGCAACCGAAGUAAACCACGGGAUUUGCUUUCGGAAGUACAACUACUACCGUCAGCUCGGCUCCGGUUACAGCACAUCAAUCCGAUACAUAAUUUGCGUUUGGGACGCCCACUUAACCGGUUACUGCUAAAAUCAAAUCAUCGGAAAUACCACGUAUCGUUUUCCUGUGCUUGGAUUUCGGUACGUACGGAAUCGGACGGCGUUUAUCGGCGAUACCAUUUUAUCGGAAAAUAAUGCGAUUCGAGGUAUUAAUCACACGCCUACAUCAAAAAAUUAUAUAAUUUGCAACUAAUAUUUUAAAAAG